rnacentral:rRNA from 1 species
CCGCGGGAACACCGGCAGCUCUAGUGUAGCAAGUUUUAUGGGCCUAAAGCGUCCGUAGCCGGUUUAAUAAGUCUCUGGUGAAAUCCUGCAGCUUAACUGUGGGAAUUGCUGGAGAUACUAUUAGACUUGAGACCGGGAGAGGUUAGAGGUACUCCCAGGGUAGAGGUGAAAUUCUGUAAUCCUGGGAGGACCGCCUGUUGCGAAGGCGUCUAACUGGAACGGUUCUGACGGUGAGGGACGAAAGUUAGGGGCGCGAACCGGAUUAGAUACCCGGGUAGUCCUAACUGUAAACGAUGCGGACUUGGUGUUGGGUGGCUUUGAGCUGCUUCAGUGCCGAAGGGAAGCUGUUAAGUCCGCCGCCUGGGAAGUACGGUCGCAAGACUGAAACUUAAGGAAUUGGCGGGGGAGCACCACAACGCGUGGAGCCUGCCGGUUUAAUUGGAUUCAACGCCGGACAUCUCACCAGAGGCGACAGCUGUAUGAUAGCCAGGUUGAUGACUUUGCUUGACUAGCUGAGUGGAGGUGCAUGG